GUAGUGGAGGGAUGUAAUUUGACUGUGUGCGCGGAUACGAGUACUUGAAUCAAGCUAGUUAAAUAAAUGUAAUUCUCAUGGUUAGUUUAUAACUAUUGUGGAAAGACUUAAUUAGUUGUUCUUUGUAAUUUACUAUUUCCAAUUGUCUACUGCCAAGAGAAAUAUGAAAAUGUUGUGCUCCCAUGUUGUCAAGAAGACGUCGUAGCAGAAAGAACAUUAUGGAAACAUCAACGAGUGCAUGAGUGGGGUUGAGCUCGUCCAACAACAAUUAU
rnacentral:lncRNA from 1 species